UGAGAGCUCAAGCCUAAGAGGCCUCUCGGCCAAACCAAGAACAAAAAAAAAAUUUUUAGCCUUCAAUCCAAAAAUCUUGUUCUUCUUGAAUUAGUAACAAGUUCAAGACGCUCUUCAACGUGGUAUAACUAGUUUGGCGGAAGAACCACGUUUGCGGAAAGUUGGAAUUUGAAGGAAAGAUUUUGGACGAAAUUGAAGUCGACGCCAAGCGAGCGUAAGGCGCUAUCGAGGUACAGACGCACCAGGUGAUACGCCGCCAGCGUAGGGUUCUGAUUCAGCUGUUUUGAAGAGCUCCUUUGAUCCGGAGCAUACACUUUUGGUAUAUAUCUUCUGUUUUCCGUAUGUUCUGCAUGUAUGGAAAUUCUGGGUACGACGGGGCCCUGUCCCGUCAUAUGAUUCUGUAUGUCUGUAGAGGCCUGUAGAUAGAUGUGUGGGUUACGGGUUUCAUCUGUAUGUUAGCCUUAUCGGCUUAUCUGUAAAAGUCUGCAUGUUCAGGUAUAUAUAUAUAUGCUUGCGCGCGUGCCGUA